rnacentral:lncRNA from 1 species
UGAGUAGUUUUCUUCUAUAUAUAUAGAGAGAAGUGUGUUCUCCUUUUGUCAAGAGAGAGUGUUUUGUAGUCUCCUUGUGAUAGAGAGAAGUUGUAAUUCUCAAAGAAAGUUAUUCAAUUGUUUCCAUAUUUUAUACAAAUUUCUAAUUUUUCAUCUCUAUAUUUUGCUGUGUCAUUUGUCUGGUACCUAACAAUAGUACGAAUGACAUUCACAGAAUGCCCAUUAUCCAAGAUAAGUGAAUUACAAUUGAUACAGUUCAAUAACCAUAUGCAGCAAAUGAAGUUUCCUUUUCCAACGAUGAAUUCAGCGUAGGUUCUCUCUAGUGUUACCAUCGUUUAUUCUGGUUAUUGAAGAAAUGACAUAUUCAAUAAAGAGUUUAAUCCCAUAAAAUUACAAGGUAUAAGCUAUAAUUAAUAAGGAUGAAGUGAUUUCUGCCAUAAUUUAAUCCCUCAAAAUCACAUACACGUACAUUCUACAGAUUUUCUAACUCUGUUUCGAGUCAAAUUCUGUAGCUUUCCUUCCAUUUUUAGUUUUUUUUAUCAUUUAUAGUUUCAUAACUUAUGUUCAUUGCAAGCUUCGUUUAUUUUUCUUUAUUUCAUUAUUUUCAUUCUCAAUUUGUUGUUAAAUUCUUCAAACCUUUGUGAAGAAUCGUUGUAGUUCUUAAUACUUUAAAAUUC